GCCUGUUCCGUCUUUUGCAACCACAGCAUUCGCCUUAAUGGUGCCACUCUGGAGGAUUUUUCGAUCUUUCGCCGAUACCCACUUGGGAAAAUCCUCUACUUGCCCCUCUAGAGGUCUACUUCUGGUGUUGUUUUUAAGCUUAACAUUAUUACUAGUAAUCCUGUUGACAAGAGCUAAAGGGUUGCUGGUCAAUUGGGAGAGAUAAUCCAUUUUGCUAGAAAUUUUGGAGUUGAGAACACCGGCGGUUGAAUCUUUGCAGGCUUGUUGGAAG
rnacentral:misc_RNA from 1 species